ensembl:lncRNA
UGGGGAGCCCCUGGCCCUUCCUCAAGGGCUAACCCGAGCCUUCUGCAGGACUGGACCUCGCCUCCCUGGCCCCCGGGGCCUAUCAGAGCGAGGGCCCGGAUGCGCCCAGUGACGUCACACCAGUCACUCCCCCCCACCCCCACAAUUCAGCCGUGGGACACGCAACUGUCCCCGACCGGGCGAAGAGCGCGUCGGCCCGGACCGCGUCUGCGCACGCGCACAGUCCGCUAAAGAGGCCGCUCUAGGCCCGCAGUCCGCCUCGUUGGCCUGGGCACGCGCGCGCACGCGCGCCGCCCGCCCGGCACGCCCGAGCGGGAGGGCUGUUCCCCGUGUAUCCCCACGUUCUUCUCACACAUCUCCGCGCAAACACGGCGCGGGCCGCGCUCCUGCGAGCGGGAAGCGGGGUCGCUCUUCCCCGGAAGGCUAACCGGCCCUCCCUCGGCGCUCACGGCCUCCGUCUGCUCGCGGCCCACGAUCCCCCGGCAUGGGGGCGUGUUUCCGGUGGCGAGGCUCGGAGCCCUCCGCCUUUCCUGCACCGGAAUGGCUCAGGCAACGCUUCUUCCUCCGCAGGCUAUUAGUUCUUCCCGUCGCCUCGUCCUAAGAGUACUGCAUUAAAAAAUAAAUAAAUAAAAUCCGGUUUGUUAUGCAAGCAGCAUCCCAACAGUACACAAUUAUAUCAAAAAUAGCUAAGCGAUUAAAAAAAAAAAGUCUGGCGUGGUUGAGGCAGGAGGAUUGCAGUGAAUUCUAAAUCCAGCCUGGGCUACGUAGUGAGACUGUUGUCUCAAAAACCACGGAGGGAAGGGAGGCGGAACAAUGGAGCGGAGUAGUCCGUACAUUUGGGAGGCUGAGUUUCAGUGGUGUGACUCCCUGGGUAACAGUCUGAAGAACUUGCCAGUGGCAGCACUUCACCUGGGAAGCAGCACUCAGGAGGCAGGUGGAUCUCUGUGAGUUCGAGGCCAGCCUGGUCUAUAUAAUGAGUUCCAGGACAGCCAGAGCUCCACGGUGGAACCCAAGAGUUGUUCCCCCACCUAACUGAAUAUAACAAAGACUUUAUCUUCUAUGAACUUGGAUACAAACCUUGCUGGAGCCUUAGGCAGGGCCAGGACUGGGAAGAGCAAAGUAAAGCACUCAUUUGGCUACAAUUUUAAGGGACCAAGAAAUAUUUUAGCAAUCAAAAUUGAUUCUAUGUUAACAUUUUUUGAAACAUGGUCUCACUAUGUAGUCCUGGAACUUGCCAUGUAAACCAGGCUGGCCACAGACUCACAGAGACCUGUCUGGCUCUGCCUCCUAAGUGCUGGGAUUAAGGGCAUGCACCAUUAUGCCUAACAUAGUGUCGUACUUUUAAAACUAAAUUAGUAAGCUGUGGUGUAUUGUAGGAGAAUACACUAGCCAGUUUACCCAAACCCUAGUCACCCUGCUCAAACCAGCCUGCUUGAGCAUGUGCAGCAGGCACUUCCUCCCUGAGCCAAGCCUGCCUCCAUGCCCAGAGACUGCUGAUGAAGAGGCACCUGACCAGAGGCACCAGUGAGGAAAGACAACACAGCAGAGUCAGCUACCUGAGCCAAUGGAACCUUUGGAGGGGGUAUAAAGGCAGGCCUAACUUCCUUAAUAAAUGAGUCUGCAGCUUGCUCUGCUACUCAUGUUGUUGACUCUGCAUCUUCUCACCCCGCCCCCCAAGAGGUGUCUGAGUAGGGUCACCCGCAAC